CAGCAGCCACGGGAAUACGGAGGGUGCAAGCGUUAUCCGGAUUUAUUGGGUUUAAAGGGUCCGUAGGCGGAUCUGUAAGUCAGUGGUGAAAUCUCACAGCUUAACUGUGAAACUGCCAUUGAUACUGCAGGUCUUGAGUAAAUUUGAAGUGGCUGGAAUAAGUAGUGUAGCGGUGAAAUGCAUAGAUAUUACUUAGAACACCAAUUGCGAAGGCAGGUCACUAAGAUUUAACUGACGCUGAUGGACGAAAGCGUGGGGAGCGAACAGGAUUAGAGACCCCGGUAGUCCCUGUCUCUUAUAC
rnacentral:rRNA from 1 species